AUUGAACGCUGGCGGCAGGCCUAACACAUGCAAGUCGAGCGCGCGGCGGGCGGGGGAGUAAUGUAUGGGGACUGCCCGCUAGAGGGGGAUAACUACUGGAAACGGUAGCUAAUACCGCAUACAAUCGGAUAACCCAUAUGGGAUUAGCUAGUAGGGGGGGGAAUGGCUCACCUAGGCGACGAGCCCUAGCUGGUCUGAGAGGAUGAUCAGCCACACUGGGACUGAGACACGGCCCAGACUCCUACGGAGGCAGCAGUGGGGAAUAUUGCACAAUGGGCGCAAGCCUGAUGCAGCCAUGCCGCGUGUAUGAAGAAGGCCUUAGGGUUGUAAAGUACUUUCAGUCGGGAGGCGUUACCGACAGAAGAAGCACCGGCUAACUCCGUGCCAGCAGCCGCGGUAAUUC
rnacentral:rRNA from 1 species